AAUGAACGUUGGCGGCAUGGAUUAGGCAUGCAAGUCGAGCGAGAAGAGUUUUAAAGCUUGCUUUAGAACUCGGACAGCGGCGAAAGGGAGAGUAACGCGUAGUUAUGUGCCCUAGGGUCCGGAAUAGCCACGGGAAACUGUGGGUAAUGCCGGAUAAUAUCCCCGGAUCAAAGGUGUGAUUCCGCCCUAGGAGCAGACUGCGUCCUGCUAGCUAGUUGGUGGGGUAAUGGCCUACCAAGGCAAUGAUGGGUAGCGGGUGUGAGAGCAUGACCCGCCUCACUGGGACUGAGACACUGCCCAGACACCUACGGGUGGCUGCAGUCGAGAAUCUUCGGCAAUGGGCGAAAGCCUAACCGCGCGAUGCCGCGUGCGGGAUGAAGGCACUCGGGUUGUAAACCGCUGUCGUAGGGGAGGAAGGUUCCGUGAAGAGCGGAAUUUGACCUAUCCUAGGAGGAAGUACGGGCUAAGUUCGUGCCAGCCGCCGCCGUAAGAC
rnacentral:rRNA from 1 species